rnacentral:rRNA from 1 species
UACGGAGGGGGUUAGCGUUGUUCGGAAUGACUGGGCGUAAAGCGCGCGUAGGCGGAUCAGGAAGUUGGGGGUGAAAUCCCGGGGCUCAACCCCGGAAUGGCCUUCAAAACUCCUGGUCUUGAGUUCGAGAGAGGUGAGUGGAAUUCCGGGUGUAGUGGUGGAAUGCGUAGAGAUCCGGAGGAACACCAGCGGCGAAGGCGGCAUCCUGGACUGGUCCUGACACUCAUGAGCGAAAGCGUGGGGAGCGAUCCGG